AUUGAACGCUGGCGGCAGGCCUAACACAUGCAAGUCGAACGGUAACAGGAAGAAGCUUGCUUUUUUGCUGACGAGUGGCGGCGGGGUGAGUAAUGUCUGGGAAACUGCCUGAUGGCGGUGGAUAACUACUGGAAACGGUAGCUAAUACCGCAUAACGUUGCAAUACCAACGAGGGGGACCUUCGCGUCUCUUGCCAUCGGAUGUGCCCAGAUGGUAUUAGCUAGUAGGUGGGGUAACGGCUCACCUAGCCGACGAUGCCUGGCUGGUCUGAGAGGAUGACCAGCCAAACUGGAAAUAAAACGCGGUGCAGACGCAUAAGGGAGGGCGCAGUAGGAAAUAUUGCAGUAUGGGGACAACCCUGAUACAGCCAUGCCAAGUGUAUGAAGACAGCCUCAGGAUUGUAAAGGACUUUCAGCGGGGAGGAAGGGAGUAAAGUUAAUACCUUUCCUCAUUGACGUUACCCACAGAAGAAGCACCGGCUAACUCCGUG
rnacentral:rRNA from 1 species